AUCAGAGACUUGUAAAGGCGAGAAAUGGAAAGAAAUAGCAUUUGAAAGAUUAUGGAAACACCUGGAGCCAUUGGAAAUCUAGAAGGGAAGAGAAAAUAUAAGCAAACUGCGUAAUAGACGAAAAAAUAAACGAAGAAGGAGAGAGAUUGUAUCGUGGGUGUACCAUGGAUUGGCGAGUGUUGGCGUUUACGCGACCGUGUAGAAAUUCUAAGUAGAAUAAGGAAGAGAAUCAGAGGAGUGAAAGAGGGAACGAGAAAGAGGCAGUAAAAGGAGGUGGAGAAGAAACGACAGGAAUCGUGGUUUAAUUACUCGGCAGAUAAAUCGUGCACGUGCACCGCAUAAACUAGCCGCUUUCAUUUUUCCCGGACGCGGCCGGCACGGUCGCGCUUACUUCUAUGCCGCGAGAAUGCAGGAUGGGUCAUUGUUGCUCGGUUGGUGCGCGAGCGAAAAGAGAAAUGACCGUGCUUAAACCGUCAUCGAAUCGGUUGGAUAAUAGUCGGCUGCGUUAACCGGCUGACGGAUCCGUAGGCUCGUAAUCCUUCUACGUCCAGCUCUAUGCUCGGUUUCGAACUCAGUUCCUUUGAAAUCCAGUGGUAAUUGAAUAUUUUUUGCUCUUUUCAAGAUCGGAUGAGUAUAUGGUACGGUCUAAUGGGUUUAUUAAGGAUUCGUAGAUCGCAAUGAUCAUAAUUAGGUGUAUUACGCUGUGGAAAAGUGAUUUGAUUAUGUAGGACAUUUAAAAAUAUUUAACAGAAGGAUACUUUGACAAGUAUUUGGUCUCUAGCCUUUCGAAUUUCUAACAAUUCUCGAACAGUUGUCGAAUUUAAGGUUUGUAGAAAAUUAAGACCUUCUAUUUUGUUAGGAAUGAAAAUUUAUUCUUUAUUCGU
rnacentral:misc_RNA from 1 species